rnacentral:lncRNA from 1 species
UGGUUCAUUUUCCUAAUGGCUAGUCUGAUUGUUUCUUUAUAAUUUGGUAUAGAUUCAAAAUUGGAAGUAGAGGAGUUUUCGAGGUGUUUCUGAUCAUUAGCAAAACAGAUAUAUCCCCUUUGACUAUUUCUUGAUUUUUUUAUGAUGUGUAUAUAUUGAGUCUGACAAUUUUGCAUAUAUGAAGAAUGGCAUUUAUAUGGUAUUCAUAUUUUGAC